AGAGGGAUAGCUGGGUCAAAUGGUGGUUCCAGUCCCAGUUUUCCAAGCAAUUUCCAUAUUGCUUUCCAGAUUGGCUGCACCAAUUUGCAGUUCCAUCAACAAU
rnacentral:pre_miRNA from 1 species